rnacentral:tRNA from 1 species
UGAAGCUGUAGCUCUGUGGUAGAGUUCUUGCCUAGUAUCCAUGACAACCUAGGUUUGAUUCCUAGUACUGUAA